rnacentral:rRNA from 1 species
GAAUUCACUAGUGAUUCAGGCCUAACACAUGCAAGUCGAGCGGUAGAGAGAAGCUUGCUUCUCUUAAAAAAAACGGACGGGUGAGUAAUGCCUAGGAAUCUGCCUGGUAGUGGGGGAUAACGUUCGGAAACGGACGCGAAUACCGCAUACGUGCCUACGGGAGAAAGCAGGGGACCUUCGGGCCUGGCGCUAUCAGAUGAGCCUAGGUGGGAGUGGCUAGUUGGUGAGGUAAUGGCUCACCAAGGCGACGAUCCGUAACUGGUCUGAGAGGAUGAUCAGUCACACUGGAACUGAGACACGGUCCAGACUCCUACGGGAGGCAGCAGUGGGGAAUAUUGGACAAUG